AGUGAACGCUGGCGGUAGGCCUAACACAUGCAAGUCGAACGGCAGCACAGUAAGAGCUUGCUCUUACGGGUGGCGAGUGGCGGACGGGUGAGGAAUACAUCGGAAUCUACUUUUUCGUGGGGGAUAACGUAGGGAAACUUACGCUAAUACCGCAUACGACCUACGGGUGAAAGCAGGGGAUCUUCGGACCUUGCGCGAUUGAAUGAGCCGAUGUCGGAUUAGCUAGUUGGCGGGGUAAAGGCCCACCAAGGCGACGAUCCGUAGCUGGUCUGAGCGGAUGAUCAGCCACACUGGAACUGAGACACGGUCCAGACUCCUACGGGAGGCAGCAGUGGGGAAUAUUGGACAAUGGGCGCAAGCCUGAUCCAGCCAUACCGCGUGGGUGAAGAAGGCCUUCGGGUUGUAAAGCCCUUUUGUUGGGAAAGAAAAGCAGCAGGUUAAUACCCCGCUGUUCUGACGGUACCCAAAGAAUAAGCACCGGCUAACUUCGUG
rnacentral:rRNA from 1 species